rnacentral:rRNA from 1 species
GACGAACCGUGCGAACGUUAUUCGGAAUCACUGGGCUUAAAGCGCGUGUAGGCGGGACGGCACGUCGGUCGCUGAAAUCCCCCGGCUCAACCGGGGAACGGGCGCCGAUACGACCGCCCUGGAGGGACGUAGGGGGACCUGGAACUUCCGGUGGAGCGGUGAAAUGCGUUGAGAUCGGAAGGAACGCCCGUGGCGAAAGCGAGGUCCUGGACGUUUUCUGACGCUGAGACGCGAAAGCCAGGGGAGAGCGAACGGG